AGACGAUAAUGGACGAGCGGGACGAGGAGGAGGACAUGCGGGAGGCGUUCAAUGUGUUUGAUCAGAAUGGGGAUGGGUUUAUUACGGUGGAGGAGCUGCGGUCGGUGCUGGCGUCGCUAGGGUUGAAGCAGGGCCGGACGGUGGAGGACUGUCGGCGGAUGAUAAGGAAGGUCGAUGUUGAUGGGGAUGGGAUGGUUAACUUCAAG
rnacentral:misc_RNA from 1 species